GAUGAACGCUAGCGGGAGGCUUAACACAUGCAAGUCGAGCGGGAUUAGCAGCAAUGCUAUGAGAGCGGCGCACGGGUGCGUAACGCGUAUGCAACCUGCCUUAUACAGGGGAAUAGCCCAUGGAAACGUGGAUUAAUGUCCCAUAGGAUUACGGAUUCGCAUGGAUUUGUGAUUAAAACUGAGGUGGUAUAAGAUGGGCAUGCGUCUGAUUAGGUAGUUGGUGAGGUAACGGCUCACCAAGCCGACGAUCAGUAGGGGUUCUGAGAGGAUUACCCCCCANACUGGUACUGAGACACGGACCAGACUCCUACGGGAGGCAGCAGUGAGGAAUAUUGGUCAAUGGCCGGAAGGCUGAACCAGCCAUCCCGCGUGCAGGAUGACGGCCCUAUGGGUUGUAAACUGCUUUUGUACCUGAAGAAACCUGUUUACGAGUAGACAGUUGCCGGUAAGGUAUGAAUAAGCAUCGGCUAACUCCGUGCCAGCAGCCG
rnacentral:rRNA from 1 species